UACGUAGGGGGCAAGCGUUGUCCGGAAUCAUUGGGCGUAAAGCGCGCGUAGGCGGCCCGGUAAGUCCGCUGUAAAAGUCCAGGGCUCAACCCUGGAAAGCCGGUGGAUACUGUCGGGCUAGAGUCCGGGAGAGGCGAGUGGAAUUCCUGGUGUAGCGGUGGAAUGCGCAGAUAUCAGGAAGAACACCAAUGGCGAAAGCAGCUCUCUGGGACGGUACUGACGCUGAGACGCGAAAGCGUGGGGAGCGAACAGG
rnacentral:rRNA from 1 species